AUUCAAAGACAUCCAGUCUGAAUGAUACUCAAGUCUCUCAGAUUCUUCUUCAGAUUUCUGCUGUCAUGAUUAUUUUUACUCUCCUCAGUUUUUUGUGGAUGUGUAUUGGUCACACAGAGGCAGACACAAUAAAACCCUUGUCACCGAAUGUAAAUAGACGUGUUGGUGACAGUAUUACUCUGUCCUGCAGUUAUAAAGACUAUACAGGUGUUGUACAGAAUUUACAAUGGUACAGACAAUAUCCCAGAUCCAAACCGGAGUUCCUCCUUUACAUCUUCCCACAUGGAGCUUUAAGUGACGGCAGACCACCCAGAUUUACUGCUGCAGUGAAUAAAGACAACAAACAAGUGGAUCUGAAGAUCUCCUCUGCUGUAGAGACAGAUUCUGCUCUGUACUACUGUGCCCUGGUGCCCACAGUCACAGGAAAUCUAACUGCAUCAUACAAAAACCUCCCAUGUCAUCAUUAA